ACGCAGUCCUGGUGAGAGGUGCAUGCGAAAGGUGGAAUAACCCAUCCUCAGUGAGUUCAGGACCGAGGGAUUCGGGAGAAAGAUCAGGCCCCAUGUGUGCGGCUGCGUGGGAAUCUUUGACCGCCCCAUCCCCCACCCACAGCAUUUGGAGGUCGGGGGGAGUCAGUGUCUCUGACACCCUAGGAAGAGCAUGGGCCGAGCCAGGGCAGCCGUCCAGGCUCUGCCCCUCCCCUCCCCCACGCCUCGAGCCAUCCCGCCCUUCCGCGCAGGUCCAGGCCCCUCCGUCCUCCUGCCUCUGACAUCCACUUGGCUUCCCAUCUCUUGGGGGAAAAAAAUACAUCAGAGCAAUAAGCUUCGUUUCCUCUUUUCUCUCACUAUCGCAUUUUCCCGACAAGUGCUCUGCACCUGCCUCCUGGCUCCACGCCUCGCCUCUUAAUCCCUCGCAGUCUAGCUGCUGGCCCCACCGCGACGCUGUAACUGCUUCUCUGAAAAUCGGCUUGUUUCCAAACACUGCUCUUCUGUCGGCUUGUCCUGCUGCCGGCCCUUCUGUCCGGGAAGCAGACCCCUGUGUGCACGUGCCCUCUUUGCAGCCUUCUGUGCUGUGAUUCCUCUCUUGGAUUUGCUCUUAUUUUUCCUUCCUUCCUUCUCCUCUUCUGACCCCCACCCCCUUCCCUCUUUUCUGGGGUGUUUUGUGAGGCCUGGUGUUUAGCUUCUCAGAGAACUUGCUUCAGGAACCCUCAGCACCUGCCCCCAAUUCUAGUCCUGGUCCUGGCUCCUUGGAUGCCCAAUGACACCCAGACUCAGCGUGUCCCCCCCUCACAGGCAGCUGCCCGCCCUUGUGUCCCAGCAGUGGGUCUCCCCUCUCCCUGCCCCUGCCCUCCAUGACCAGGCUACUGCUUUAGGUCUUGAAUGUCUCAGGCCUGAGUUCAGAGGCCCCUUUUCUGGGCUGAUGCCAGAAUCCCUUCCGUCCCCACAGUCUAUGCAGCAUGUCAUCUCUAGGUGGACGGACCCUGCUUUUACCCGAUCGCCGUUCCCCUCUGCUGGGAAGUCUUUGGAGGCUCCGCUUCCCCUCCCCUGCAGAGCCCAGCUCCUCUCCCUCCUGUAGCCUCAGCCGUUCUCAGAAGCCACUUCCCUGGGGACGCCCUGUCUCUCCCAUCUGCACAGGGCCCCUGUCCUGGUCUUCCCACUCCACUGCGCCCUGGGGACCACAGCUGACUGUCCCCAGAUGGCAGGUCCCUAUGUGUCCUGGAAGCCUCUUCCCUUCCUCCUGGGCCCUGGGGCUGGGUACCCUGCUGGCUGUCAGUAAAGGAAUUCCUCCCCCAAACCUCCAAGAAGACGUCCUGUCAUCCUUCAGAGUCUGGUUCAGAUCCCACCUCCCUCCAGGACUGUUCUAGUCGCCCGGAUUCCCACUGCCUGGUGCUCCUGCUGGGCUCGCAGCUGGAUUCAUUUACAGUCCGUCCACCCAACUUAAUACUUUUUUCUCUGCUAUUAGCCUCUGAUUGUAUCAAGGCUGAGAGAGACACUUUUCCAGCUCUUAAAUCACAGCAGCCUUUUAUUGGGUGGUUGGCAUGUGCCGGCCUGUGCUGCUCUUUGCAGCACCCCUCCUGUGCGUUAUCCUUGCCACCCCCAGGGGGCACGGUGCCAGGCUCCUUGGCUUCGUUCUGCCCGUGAGGAUAUGACCCCAGCGAGGUCCAAGGACCUGUCUACACCACACAGCUUGUAGGUGGGCAGCACAUAGCUUGGCACUCCAGUCUGUCUGACUUUGGAGGUUGUUUCCUGAUACUUGGAUUUGCUGUUUUUCCAGAAAAGCAUAAGCCUCAGUCCGCAGAGUGUGUUACAGGUCCUUUGGUACCUGGUCCUUUGGUAUGCAGGUGUACUGGUUGCUUGGAACUCCACUGGACUAAGAAAGGACUUUGUUGGGAGUUCCCAUCAUGGCACAGUGGAAACGAAUCUGAUUAGGAACCAUGAGGUUGCAGGUUCGAUCCCUGGCCUCGCCCAGUGGGUUAAGGAUCUGGCGUUAAUGUGAGCUGUGAUGUAGGUCACAGACCCGGCUCGGAUCUGGUAUGGCUGUGACGUAGGCUAGCAGCUGUAAUUCCAAUUUGACCACUAGCCUGGGAACCUCCAUAUGCCGUGGGUGCAGCCCUCAAAAGAAAAAAAAGAAAAAA
rnacentral:lncRNA from 1 species